UACCAGGCCAGCAGGGUUCACAUGAGGAGUGGGAGCUGCCAUGUCAGUCCCUCACAGUCAACCGCUGAGCCUUUUCGACUUUCCCGCAGUGGUUUUGAUAAGGGUGCUUUCGGCCCCUAACUCUCUGGGCCCAUGAUUCUCCUGCCAGGAGUUACCCAGCUUCCAGCCCCUCUGCAGGAAGCCCAGUCUCCUCCCAGGGCAGCAGGUCUGGCUGCUAGAAGGCUCUUGUACCUAAACCUGGGUCUGACUCCUAUAGCUUUCUCCAAGCCCUUAGUCAAUCAAUUUCACAGUGAAGACAGGAACCAGUCAACCCCCCUCCCCAGUCUAAGACCCCCACUGUCCAGAUAAAGCAGCCCCAGUUCCUUCACCACCCUCCUCUGGUUUUCAUCUGAACCUGCCUCUCUGUUUAUUGCGCAUCUCAGAUGUGAUAACUCUAACUGAAUCCAGAGCUUCAGUGUGUCUCCUCCACUAGGACAGCAGCUCCAUGGGGGCAAGGACAGUGUCUAUUUGCUUCCCUGGCCUCAGGGUUGAAAGCAGGGCCUGCUUGACCUUGCAACACCUGGCUCAGUAAACAGCUAUGAAAUGAACGGCUGAAUGGUCAUGACCUUGCUUUGCUCCUGUCAAACCUAUGGACUCAUCUUACCACCUCCACUCUGGCUGCUCCCCCAUGCUGUGCCUCACCAGGCCCUGGGCAGAGAAGAUGUGCUUCCAACCUUCACAAUGUCCUGUCCUGGGUUGUAUAUGAAGAAUAUUUCUACUCAACUGCGCCCUCUCCAGAGAAGAGAGGUAUUCAUCACAAAGUGUCACUCACACUUGGGGAUGGGGCUGGCCUAGGAGAGGGAGCAAGGGUCCGAUGUCUGGACACCUGAACAACAGCUCCUGGCAGAGGGAGGUGGUAGGACUUGAGCUUUCUUGGCUGUGGUUUUGGUUCAUUUGGUGAUGGUGGCGGAAUCCUUAGGAGAAAUGCGGAAGGGAAGCUGGGACGAGGAUGUGGCUUCCCAUCUCCCUGCUCCCUUUAACUGCAGUCACCUUCACGUGACCCAUUUCUAGAAGCAAGUCCACUGCACCCUGGAUUCCCUUCUGGAUUUUCUCUCUUCUUUUGGCCUGUACCACACGGCUUGAGAGAUCUUGGUUCCCCGACCAGGGAUGGAACUCCAGCCCUUGCAGUGAAAGGGCCCAGUCCUAACCACCGGAUCACCAGGGAAGUUCUCCCUGCUUUUUCUCUUAAGGGACUCCUCUCAGGCCCUCGAGAGUUAGCUGAAC
ensembl:lncRNA